GGUUUACGCUUCAAAGAAGAGCUGGCGGACGGAACUUGGACCGAUUGUGUCACCAUGCCUGCCUUUUGCUCUGCGUACGGCUGUACGAGCACCGGCAGCCAAGACGAUAUUCUUGGACGGCUGCUCUCUGAAGACGGAACCAUCAGGUACACGCCAAGACCAAGCGAAAGAGAUCACGAUGACAUUGUACCAGAGCCAUUACAUCACGCAGCACCGAGUCCGGCUAAUGAGUCGGGACAAGCUGUAGAAACACCACCAGAGCUAGCGUUUGAUCUGGGCCAUGUCACCGAUAAAUCUGUUCAAGUUCGGCUACUAACCUACCACGAAGCAUCUCAAGCAAAUGAAAAGAAAAUUCUGUCAACAAGUGCUACUCAAACAGAGCCUCAAGUUGUUUCUUCAGAUUCCCUGUCUUUUGCGUCUCUGGAACGGUCUUCUUCAUUGGAGCCUGUACGACCUCGACUGCAUUCCUGCCAGCAGUGCACCUAUGUGACACAUAAUAAGUCAUAUAUGAGCAGACACCUUCGGAUGCACAGAGGCGAACGCUCCUUCCAGUGCAACCUGUGUCCAGCUGCAUUCACUCAGAACUCCAACCUGGUGGCUCACAUGCGCAAUCACACAGGAGAGCGUCCCUUUUCCUGUGUCCACUGCAAUGCAUCCUAUACGCGGAAGCAUACCCUCUAUGUCCAUAUGCGCACUCACACAGGAGAGCGCCCCUUUUCCUGUGCCCACUGCAAGGCAUCCUUUUCGCGGAAAGACUACCUCAGUGACCACAUGCGCAUUCACACAGGAGAUCGUCCCUUUUCUUGUGUCCGCUGCAGUGCAUCGUUUUCGCGGAAAGACACCCUCAAUGGCCACAUGCGCACUCACAAUGGAGAGCGUCCAUUUUCCUGUGUCCACUGCAAUGCAUCGUUCGCGAUGGAAACCAGCCUCGUGACGCACAUGCGCAUUCACACAGGAGAACGUCCCUUCUCCUGCGUGCACUGCCAUGCAACCUUCGUGCAGAAAAAGAACCUCGUGAGACACGUCCGCAAGCACACAGGAGAGCGUUGCUUUUCCUGUGCCCACUGCAGUGCAUCGUUUGUGACUAAGCACUACCUUGUUCAGCACCUGCGCACUCACACAGGAGAGCGUCCUUUCGCCUGUGACCACUGCGAUGCAUCCUUUUUGCGGAAAGCGAGCCUCGUGAUGCACAUGCGCACUCACACAGGAGAGCGUCCCUUCUGCUGCGUCCACUGCAAUGCAUCAUUUUCGCGGAAAAACUGUCUCGUGAUGCACAUCCGUACUCACACAGGAGAGCGUCCCUACUCGUGCGUCCACUGCAGUGCAUCUUUUUCACAAAAACACCGGCUCACGCACCACAUGUCCAGCCGUCAUGAAAAGAAGAAGACAUAAAUGUGUCUGUCUUUUCACAUGAAUUGUGUACGCCACUUGACCAAGAGCAGCUGGAGCAGCGAAAUGAACGACUCAUUCAUCGACGGGCGCCACGGAGGGAACUCCUACGCUCGAAGUGUAUUAAGUGCCGCACUUGUGAGC
rnacentral:misc_RNA from 1 species